GCCGAUAUAGUAUAAUGGCUAUUACAGGGUCUUGGUAUGACUCAAAUCACAGUUCAAUCCUGUGUAUCGGCACCA
rnacentral:tRNA from 1 species